CCACGAAGAGGCGCACGAACUCGGGCUUGUUGCUCACCAGCGCGUCCAUCAGCACCUCCUCCAGGCUGCAGGCAGAGCAGAUGGAGGGCAUGAGGGCAAAGCCAGGAGCCAACCGAGCCGGUGGGCACCAGGUCCCUUGAGGUGCAUCUCCUAGACACAUGGCAGCUGGAACGGUGGCCUCGUUAGCACCUCUGGGUGAUGGCGGGAGGCACAAGACAUCGCAAGACCCCUGGGGCCGAUGCUGGGAGCAUCAGGACCCCAGUGGGGCCCCAGGGAUGAGCAGAGUAGGGGAGGGAGAAGGCAGCCUGUCUGGAGGAGCCCCGCCCUCAAGUGUGUCCCUCUUCCUGCCUGGGCCUGUGUCCGUGGCCAGCAGUCAGCCCCUGAGUAAGUGUCUGUGUCCAGUAAGAAGCACGUUGAGAGCUAUAAUGGCAGAGACUCUGGAAAAUAUAUAUGAUUUUCAUUUCACUAUGUAUAUGUGUAUGUACAUGUAUAACUGAAUUGCUUUGCUGGACUCCUGAAACUAACACUGUAGAUUGACUACACUUCAAUAGAAAACAAGAAUUAUUUAAAAAAAGGAAAAGAAGCACAUCGAUUGACAGCCAAAAAGUGGGGACAAGCCAAGCGUCCAUCAACAGGGAAAGAGGGAGACAAAAGGCUAUACUCAGCCUUAAAAAGCAGCGAGGCCCUGACCCAGGCGACGAAGGAGAUGACCCCAAAACCUCGUGCUCAGCAAGAGAAGUCAGACCCCAAGGCCACGUCGUGCGUGGUCCCAUGCAUAGGAAGUGCCCUGACUAGCCAAAUCCAUAGAGACAGGCAGUAGUUCAGCAGUUGCCCGGGGCUGGGGGACGUGGGGAGUGACUAACGGGGGUCUGUGGGGUGAUGGACAUGCUCUGGAGUCAGUGGUAAAGGCUUCACACCCUUGUGAAAAUACUAAACCCACUGAAUGGAACGCUUAAAGUAGUCUUCAAAACUGUGAUAAAAUGUAUCUAAUGUAAAACGUGCCAAA